UGAGGAAUAUUGGUCAAUGGUCGCAAGACUGAACCAGCCAUGCCGCGUGCAGGAAGACGGUCCUAUGGAUUGUAAAGCACUUUCAGCGAGGAGGAAAGGUUGUUGGCUAAUACCCAGCAACUGUGACGUUACUCGCAGAAGAAGCACCGGCUAACUCCGUGC
rnacentral:rRNA from 1 species